rnacentral:tRNA from 14 species
GCUUUCUUUCCUGGUGCUGGGCACGGUCUUCAA